rnacentral:tRNA from 1 species
GCGUUAUUAGUUCAAUGGUAGAACGCCAGUCUUCCAAACUGGAUACCUCGGUUCGAUCCCGGGAUAGCGCACCA